rnacentral:rRNA from 1 species
GACGAACGCUGGCGGCGUGCUUAACACAUGCAAGUCGAACGGAAAGGCCCUGCUUGCAGGGUACUCGAGUGGCGAACGGGUGAGUAACACGUGGGUGAUCUGCCCUGCACUUCGGGAUAAGCCUGGGAAACUGGGUCUAAUACCGGAUAGGAGCCAUUUUUAGUGUGAUGGUUGGAAAGUUUUUUCGGUGUAGGAUGAGCUCGCGGCCUAUCAGCUUGUUGGUGGGGUAAUGGCCUACCAAGGCGGCGACGGGUAGCCGGCCUGAGAGGGUGGACGGCCACAUUGGUACUGAGAUACGGCCCAGACUCCUACGGGAGGCAGCAGUGGGGAAUAUUGCACAAUGGGCGCAAGCCUGAUGCAGCGACGCCGCGUGGGGGAUGACGGCCUUCGGGUUGUAAACUCCUUUCGCUAGGGACGAAGCUUUUGUGACGGUACCUAGAUAAGAAGCACCGGCUAACUACGUG